AUUAUCAGGGAUGGAUAGAUUGAACUAUACUCGUCCGAUCACCGAAGUUAAGCAACGUCGGACCCGGUCAGUACUUGGGAGGGUGACCACCUAGAAACACCGAGUAUGUGCUGUAGAUU